rnacentral:rRNA from 1 species
UACGGAGGGGGCUAGCGUUGUUCGGAAUUACUGGGCGUACAGCGCACGUAGGCGGCUUUACAAGUCAGAGGUGAAAGCCCGGGGCUCAACUCCGGAACUGCCUCUGAGACUGUAUCGCUUGAACACGGGAGAGGUGAGUGGAAUUCCGAGUGUAGAGGUGAAAUUCGUAGAUAUUCGGAAGAACACCAGUGGCGAAGGCGGCUCACUGGACCGUUGUUGACGCUGAGGUGCGAAAGCGUGGGGAGCAAACAGG